AAGCAUAAAACUCAAAGGAAUUGACGGAAACCGCACAAGCGGCGGAGCAUGAGGAUAAUUAGACGAACGCGAAGAACCUUACCAAGGCUUGACAUACACCGGAAACAUCCAGAGAUGGGUGCCCCCUAGUUGUCGGUGUACAGGUGGUGCAAGGCUGUCGUCAGCUCGUGUCGUGAGAUGUUGGGUUAAGUCCCGCAACGAGCGCAACCCUUGUCCCGUGUUGCCAGCAGGCCCUUGUGGUGCUGGGGACUCACGGGAGACCGCCGGGGUCAACUCGGAGGAAGGUGGGGACGACGUCAAGUCAUCAUGCCCCUUAUGUCUUGGGCUGCACACGUGCUACAAUGGCCGGUACAAAGAGCUGCGAUGCCGUGAGGCGGAGCGAAUCUCAAAAAGCCGGUCUCAGUUCGGAUUGGGGUCUGCAACUCGACCCCAUGAAGUCGGAGUCGCUAGUAAUCGCAGAUCAGCAUUGCUGCGGUGAAUACGUUCCCGGGCCUUGUACACACCGCCCGUCACGUCACGAAAGUCGGUAACACCCGAAGCCGGUGGCCCAACCCCCUUGUGGGGAGGGA
rnacentral:rRNA from 1 species